AGUGAACGCUGGCGGUAGGCCUAACACAUGCAAGUCGAACGGCAGCACAGUAAGAGCUUGCUCUUACGGGUGGCGAGUGGCGGACGGGUGAGGAAUACAUCGGAAUCUACUUUUUCGUGGGGGAUAACGUAGGGAAACUUACGCUAGUACCGCAUACGACCUACGGGUGAAAGCAGGGGAUCUUCGGACCUUGCGCGAGUGAAUGAGCCGAUGUCGGAUUAGCUAGUUGGCGGGGUAAAGGCCCACCAAGGCGACGAUCCGUAGCUGGUCUGAGAGGAUGAUCAGCCACACUGGAACUGAGACACGGUCCAGACUCCUACGGGAGGCAGCAGUGGGGAAUAUUGGACAAUGGGCGCAAGCCUGAUCCAGCCAUACCGCGUGGGUGAAGAAGGCCUUCGGGUUGUAAAGCCCUUUUGUUGGGAAAGAAAAGCAGCAGGUUAAUACCCCGCUGUUCUGACGGUACCCAAAGAAUAAGCACCGGCUAACUUCGUG
rnacentral:rRNA from 1 species